AUUCCGAGGAUAUAUUAUAGC
rnacentral:sRNA from 1 species